rnacentral:lncRNA from 1 species
ACUUCUAGUGGGACUUCCGAGAUGGCAGCCACUCAGUCCCCCCCUCCCCAUCUCCAAGCUUCCUAUUUGAUUUGGUCUUGGCAUUCCUCUUCCUUCUCUUCAUUCUGCAGCACAACUCAGCACGUUUGAUAUUGGUAUUCAGCACAUUGGACAGCGCCAGGAUGAGAAUCAUCCCUGUAACAAAGAUUUUAAAAGGAAGAAGAGGAAUAAAAAUCAGUUAAUCAAAGCCAGCCUUCACAUCUGUUCUGACAUUAUGUGCAAUACUCCAUAUCCAUGGUAUUCUACUUCUACAAAAAAAAGGGAACAGAACAAUAAGAGGACUUAAAGGACAAGGGGCCAAUAGCAUACAGAGGGAGAAGCCUUAACACAAUUGGCCUCCAUGUACCUGAAGCAGCCUUCCAGGAUUGACUGGAGGACAGAUAACGCCAGCUACUAAUCCCAGGGAGAGAGAAAGUGAAGAGAUCUUCCUGUCACCCUCUCCACUGAUAUCCACCCUCCUCCAGGAAGUUUGUCAGGAUUCAUAGAGCAUCAGCCCUUGAAUUGCCUGGUUCCUGUCCGGGAUAAAAGUAUUUGACCUUCAUGUAUACUUAUUGUGUAUCUAAGUUAUAUUUUAAUAUAUUUAACAUCUACUGGUCAUCCUGCCAUCUAG